ACCGUCUGAAAUAAAAGCGGGCAACAAAUUAUUCUAAGGCUUAGUUUUAUAUUGAGGUAUAUCUAACGCUUUUAUAUAUAAUGAAGUUGAGGAAAAAGUAUAUAGGGAUAUGUUUCUACGUUCUCCAGUAAGACAGCAAAAAAUAUAUCGUAACCGACUCAUCGCGAUAUGCGGAACACAAUUACAUGCGAAAACAAAUAGCAUAUUUUUUCAACGUACUUUCUCACCACACGUAAUGUAAUCUCCCCGCAAUCCCAAACGAAGCCUAAAUAGUAACUGAAAAUUAAGUAAAAUUUUAUGUUACACGUAUAUAAAGCCGUCGAGUUUGACUUGAAAUUAUUCCUUACUAUUAUAAGUACUACUUUCCAAAAAAAAAUUC
rnacentral:lncRNA from 1 species